CCUACGGGUGGCAGCAGUGAGGAAUAUUGGUCAAUGGGCGGGAGCCUGAACCAGCCAAGUAGCGUGCAGGAUGACGGCCCUAUGGGUUGUAAACUGCUUUUAUGCGGGGAUAAAGUGAGGGACAUGUCCUUCAUUGCAGGUACCGCAUGAAUAAGGACCGGCUAAUUCCGUGCCAGCAGCCGCGGUAAUACGGAAGGUCCGGGCGUUAUCCGGAUUUAUUGGGUUUAAAGGGAGCGUAGGCCGUGGAUUAAGCGUGUUGUGAAAUGCAGGUGCUCAACGUCUGCACUGCAGCGCGAACUGGUCCACUUGAGUGUGCGCAACGCAGGCGGAAUUCGUCGUGUAGCGGUGAAAUGCUUAGAUAUGACGAAGAACUCCGAUUGCGAAGGCAGCCUGCGGGAGCACAACUGACGCUGAAGCUCGAAAGUGCGGGUAUCGAACAGGAUUAGAUACCCGGGUAGUC
rnacentral:rRNA from 1 species